rnacentral:rRNA from 1 species
GUUUAAAAAAAGACCAAAGCACCCUAAUAAAAGUUCAAUCUCCUUUUUUCAAUAAAAAUCAAUUGUAUUUUUUUUGACAAUUCAAUGUUUUAAUAAAUGUCCCAUUCUUUGUUAACCCAGGAAUCGUCUCAAUAGACUGGGAAUUCCAAUUCUUUUCCCCUGUUCAAAUUGAACAAGAAAAAAAGAAAUUGUGAAUGUUCCUUUCUUUCCGUAGGUGAACCUGCGGAAGGAUCAUUCACAAUUUCUUUUUUCCUUGUUCAAUUUGAACAGGGAAAAGAAUUGGAUUCACCCAGUCUAUUGAGACGAUUCCUGGGUUAACAAAGAAUGGACCAUUUAUUAAAACAUUGAAUUGUCAAAAAAAAUACCAAUUGAUUUUAUUGAAAAAAGAGAUUGAACCUUUCAUUAGGUGCUUUGUCUUUUUUAAACAACUUUAAGCAAUGGAUCUCUUGGCUCUCGCAUCGAUGAAGAGCGUAGCAAAUUGCGAUAAUUAGUGCGAUCUGCAUUCUGCGAAUCAUCGAGUUCUUGAACGCACCUUGCACCCUUUGGCUUGUCCUUGGGGUAUGCUUGUUUCAGUACAACUACAAACCCACAAAUGUCAUUUCUUGAUUGAAUUGACCAUUGUGAUUGGGAUGUUAAAGGUUGAACACCUGUUUGACCUUUCAUCCUGAAAAUGAAUCCAUCGGAUACAUUUCAUCAAUUGGUUUUGUUUCCUUUGCAUUAAUUUUCUUGAUUGAAAAGCAUUGGGGAUUUGCCAAUUAAACAUCAAACUCGUUGUCUGAAAUCAAGUAGGAUUACCCGCUGAACUUAAGCAUAUCAAUAGCCGGGAAGAAAAGAAACAUUCCCAAUUUCUUUUUUCCUUGUUCCAUUUGACCAGGGGAAAAGGAAUUGGAUUCCCAGUCUAUUGAGACGAUUCCUGGGUUAACAAAGAAAUGGACCAUUUAUUAAAACAUUGGAAUUGUCAAAAAAAUACAAAUUGUAUUUUAUUGAAAAAAAGGAGAUUGAACCUUUCAUUAAGGUGCUUUGGUCUUUUUUUAAACACUUUAAGCA